rnacentral:rRNA from 1 species
AUGAACGCUGGCGGCGUGCCUAAUACAUGCAAGUCGCGCGAACAGACGAGGAGCUUGCUCCUCUGACGUUAGCGGCGGACGGGUGAGUAACACGUGGAUAACCUACCUAUAAGACUGGGAUAACUUCGGGAAACCGGAGCUAAUACCGGAUAAUAUAUUGAACCGCAUGGUUCAAUAGUGAAAGACGGUUUUGCUGUCACUUAUAGAUGGAUCCGCGCCGCAUUAGCUAGUUGGUAAGGUAACGGCUUACCAAGGCAACGAUGCGUAGCCGACCUGAGAGGGUGAUCGGCCACACUGGAACUGAGACACGGUCCAGACUCCUACGGGAGGCAGCAGUAGGGAAUCUUCCGCAAUGGGCGAAAGCCUGACGGAGCAACGCCGCGUGAGUGAUGAAGGUCUUCGGAUCGUAAAACUCUGUUAUUAGGGAAGAACAAAUGUGUAAGUAACUAUGCACGUCUUGACGGUACCUAAUCAGAAAGCCACGGCUAACAACGUG